CAGCAGCCGCGGGAAUACGUAGGUGGCGAGCGUUGUCCGGAAUUAUUGGGCGUAGAGGGAGCGCAGGCGGACAUAUAAGUCCAUCUUAAAAGUGCGGGGCUCAACCCCGUGAGGGGAUGGAAACUGUAUGCCUUGAGUGCAGGAGAGGAAAGCGGAAUUCCCAGUGUAGCGGUGAAAUGCGUAGAUAUUGGGAGGAACACCAGCGGCGAAGGCGGCUUUCUGGACUGUAACUGACGCUGAGGCUCGAAAGCCAGGGGAGCGAACGGGAUUAGAUACCCCUGUAGUCCUGUCUCUUAUACAC
rnacentral:rRNA from 1 species